GCUGGUUUGGCUCAGUGGAUAGAGUGUCAGCCUGCAGACUGAAAGGUUCCAGGUUUGAAUCCGGCCAACAGCA
rfam:Myotis lucifugus cont2.7438, whole genome shotgun sequence.